GGAUGUGAGGGCGAUCGGACUCUGUCACCCUAUGGAUAGCCAGAGCUGAUUCGGCUAAUCUGGCUGGCCAGGCGGGUGUCCCCUUCCUCCCUCACUGCUCCAUGUGUGUUCCUCCUUCAGCUGUGUGCUCAGUUGAAGAUGACUAUCUCCAUUAGUGGAGGACAGUUCUUCAGUCAAGGGCAUAUGAGUAGCUAUGCUCUCCUGCUAAAGCCUCCAAACCAGCUCUCAAAAAUGAAAUAGUAAAGUUUUGUGCAUAGACUGCACUCUGGGAGAGUCUCCAGGGUGGUUCACUUUUGCCAUUACUGGUAGAGCAGGGAGGAGGACUUGUAAAUUCAAGACCUGCUUUUA
rnacentral:snRNA from 1 species